AUCAUUGUCACUUUGUGGCUUGACUUUGCAGCCACGUCUUCCAAAGGCCUGUUGUCUUCUCACCCCAGCACCCGCAGGACGUCUGCAGGGAAGCUACGUUGCCUCCCUGAGGGCCUGCAGGCCUGCUGUGAUCCAGCACCGUCAUAGCCAGCUCAUCUUUUGUUGUUGUGGGAAGGGCCCACAGAAGCCAACAGUUUUGGUGGAACUCCGAUCGGACAGUAGAUGCUUCUUAUUCCUUGUUAUGAACUACAAAUGCCCCGACCUCGUGUUUAUGAUCGCCAACAGUCACUUGUGCAUUUCUGUCUCCACUAAUGCAUGGUGUGGCUAAUUGGGUUUGUGAAAAAGGUCACUUCCAUCUUUUUUUUUUUUAAUGAAUGGUUUAGUUUAUUAUUACAGUGGAGUGUUGACAAGCAUGGCAGAGACUAAAAAUAUAGUUCCUUUUCAAAAUAAAAUAUUCAGCAUUUUGACUGGC